ACCGGCAUUGUGUAGUGGUUUGGAUGUUGGAUUGUGACUUCAGAGACCAGAGUUCAAUUCCCUGCUUGGCUA